UAGCAUUUCUAUAUUACAUCAUUUUAUAUGCAUCUACUUAGCAUUUUGCAUCAUAUUGUCCACAUGCAUUAGCUAUGUCAUUUUAUUAACAUGCAUCAAUAUGAAUUCGUAUGUUUCUUAGACAUAAAGGGCGACCUAGUCGCUUCGGUAAACACAACCCACCUUGAUUCGCUUUCCGAUUGCUCGUAGUCACUUGCAAUCGGCCUCCCGCGGCACCCGUUGCCCGGUUCGGCCCGAUCUCACAAUUACGCACCAACCGUGCGCCGCUUUGCAGCCCCGGAAAUUAUAGGUCUUCGAUUAUGUGCUACGGUGCUCGGGAUCCAUUUUCACGAUUUAUG
rnacentral:lncRNA from 1 species